CAGGGCCUGGGGAGGGGAGGAGGCAGGGGCAGACUUCAGCAAUGCAGUCUCUCCCAGAGCCUGCACUGGGGACAAAAGGGCCUUGCUUGGUGACAUUCAAGUAUGAUGGGGUAGGAGGCUUGGACUGGCCUCUGGCCUGAGCCUCCUUCCUUUCCGUGCCCUGACCUGAACUCACCCAGCAGAUUCCACCCCGUUUCUCGUAAAGAAAUCCAGCAACUCCAGCCAGCACGGCCUGGGGAGAGAUUAAACCAGCAGUGAUGUGCACAGGAAACGCUCAAAGAAUCAGAAAGUGUGGUAUAGCCCUGAGGACAGAUGGAUCCAAAUCCUGUUUGGCUAUUCUAGUGCAAGUCUGUCGGAGAGUCCCCAGGUCCACCAUGAGCAGCCCACUGAGCUCCCAUUGAAGACUGCACACACACAUCUCUUGACCUUCGUGCCUGGAUCCCCACUGAUGUGCAGAGCACAACAGGGAACUAGGAGGCUACGCUUCCUCUGGGGACUGCAGACUCUCUAUCUGCCUCCCCUAUCUCAGGGCAGACAUCUGGAGGUGAGUAGGUCCUUAGAGCCUUAGCUAAUAACUGGGACAAUGGGAACGAGGACCUAGACUGGUGGGAAGGGCACUGGGCAGGGGACCAGAGAGAUGACCCUGUGACUUCAGACAUCGCCCCACUUCCUUUGGUUAUUUUCUUAUCUGCACCAAUGACAAACUGACCUAGAUAAUUAGGGACUUUUUGAUGGCUAACAUUCUGUUCCACCAUGUUGGGGUGGUCCUGGGAAGUCCUAUCCUUCUGUUGGGAGGUUGGUCACCUGCUGCCUUACUUA